CACAUGCAAGUCGAGGGGCAGCAUAAUGGAUAGCAAUAUCUAUGGUGGCGACCGGCGCACGGGUGCGUAACGCGUAUGCAACCUACCUUUAACAGGGGGAUAACACUGAGAAAUUGGUACUAAUACCCCAUAAUAUCAUAGAAGGCAUCUUUUAUGGUUGAAAAUUCCGAUGGUUAGAGAUGGGCAUGCGUUGUAUUAGCUAGUUGGUGGGGUAACGGCUCACCAAGGCGACGAUACAUAGGGGGACUGAGAGGUUAACCCCCCACACUGGUACUGAGACACGGACCAGACUCCUACGGGAGGCAGCAGUGAGGAAUAUUGGUCAAUGGACGCAAGUCUGAACCAGCCAUGCCGCGUGCAGGAUGACGGCUCUAUGAGUUGUAAACUGCUUUUGUACGAGGGUAAACGCAGAUACGUGUAUCUGUCUGAAAGUAUCGUACGAAUAAGGAUCGGCUAACUCCGUGCCAGCAGCCGCGGUAAUACGGAGGAUUCAAGCGUUAUCCGGAUUUAUUGGGUUUAAAGGGUGCGUAGGCGGUUUGAUAAGUUAGAGGUGAAAUUUCGGGGCUCAACCCUGAACGUGCCUCUAAUACUGUUGAGCUAGAGAGUAGUUGCGGUAGGCGGAAUGUAUGGUGUAGCGGUGAAAUGCUUAGAGAUCAUACAGAACACCGAUUGCGAAGGCAGCUUACCAAACUAUAUCUGACGUUGAGGCACGAAAGCGUGGGGAGCAAACAGGAUUAGAUACCCUGGUAGUCCACGCAGUAAACGAUGAUAACUCGUUGUCGGCGAUACACAGUCGGUGACUAAGCGAAAGCGAUAAGUUAUCCACCUGGGGAGUACGUUCGCAAGAAUGAAACUCAAAGGAAUUGACGGGGGCCCGCACAAGCGGAGGAACAUGUGGUUUAAUUCGAUGAUACGCGAGGAACCUUACCCGGGCUUGAAAGU
rnacentral:rRNA from 1 species